GCCACCCUAGCUCAGGGGUAGAGCAACGGUUUCGUAAACCGUAGGUCUGGGGUUCAAUUCCCCAGGGUGGCUCCA
rnacentral:tRNA from 1 species